GCUAUACUUAUCCCCCACACCUCCUUGAAUCUCACAGCGCGCCAUCACUCUGCCAUUCUGCUGCAAUUCACUGUCAGUGUGUUCAAGGAAGUUUGAAAAAAAAUGCCCUAACAAAUACAACAACAAGAAGAGAGGCAGAGAAGGCAGUGUCCAAGUGGCUAAUCGGUGCCAGGGACAGGGGAGGUUAUCGCACUGCCAGGGCACGAGUUGGACAACAAGAUGGGGCCGUUGGUACAGUGACAACAGAGGAGUGAGGAGCUGCCCUAAUGUUGUUUUGUUUGUAUUGUUCUAUGCAGUUAAUUAGUUGAAGUUUAUUAAACUUUUUAAAGAGUUAAUUAAAGUGUUGCUCCACAAAAAAAGAAAAAAAUGUCAUAAAUUACUUUUCCUCAUGUCGUUCCACACCUGCAAGACCUUUGUUCAUCUUCAAAACACAAAUAUAUAACACAAAAAGAUAUUUUUUAUGAGAUCAGUGAGCUUAAUUUGUGUUCUGAAGAUGAUUGAAGCUCUUAUGGGUUUGAAACGACAUGAGGGUGAGUAAUUAAUGACAAAAAUAAUAAUUUUAGGAUG